UACCAGCUCUCCGAGUGGUAGGGAUGUUUAUUGGGCUUAAAGCGUCCGUAGCCGGCUUAGCAAGUCUCCUGUUAAAUUCAGCGACCUAAUCGUUGAGCCGCGGGAGAUACUACUAGGCUAGGAGGCGGGAGAGGUCAACGGUACUUCCGGGGUAGGGGUGAAAUCCUAUAAUCCCGGGAGGACCACCAGUGGCGAAGGCUGUUGACUAGAACGCGCUCGACGGUGAGGGACGAAAGCUGGGGGGAGCGAACCGGGAUUAGAUACCCGGGUAGUCCCAGCUGUAAACGAUGCGAGCUAGGUGUUGGGGUGGCUACGUGCCACUUCAGUGCCGCAGGGAAGCCAUUAAGCUCGCCGCCUGGGGAGUACGGCCGCAAGGCUGAAACUUAAAGGAAUUGGCGGGGAGCACCACAAGGCGUGAAGCUUGCGGUUC
rnacentral:rRNA from 1 species